rnacentral:lncRNA from 1 species
AAGGAGGCUCAAGGUCCCGAAGAGCCUUGAGUUCUCGGAUCUCUUGCUCGAGCUGCUGCCGUAAAUUCAGUUGAAGCUUUUCAUCAUGCUCCAUCUUACGGAUCGUCUUGGUCAAGAUUUUGGCGUUGGACUUCAACUCCUUGAUCUUAUUCAUCCUCAGUUCACUCCUCUGAACUAAGUCGACAUUCAUGUUGACAAUUUCAGCAUGCUGAGCCUUAGUCGACUUUAGUUCUUCCUUGGAGGCCUUCACUUCUUCCUUAGCUUGGGCCAACUCUUUCUGAAGACCUUCGUUAGUAUGAA